GCAGUCGAACGAACUCUGGUAUUGAUUGGUGCUUGCAUCAUGAUUUACAUUUGAGUGAGUGGCGAACUGGUGAGUAACACGUGGGAAACCUGCCCAGAAGCGGGGGAUAACACCUGGAAACAGAUGCUAAUACCGCAUAAUAACUUGGACCGCAUGGUCCGAGCUUGAAAGAUGGCUUCGGCUAUCACUUUUGGAUGGUCCCGCGGCGUAUUAGCUAGAUGGUGGGGUAACGGCUCACCAUGGCAAUGAUACGUAGCCGACCUGAGAGGGUAAUCGGCCACAUUGGGACUGAGACACGGCCCAAACUCCUACGGGAGGCAGCAGUAGGGAAUCUUCCACAAUGGACGAAAGUCUGAUGGAGCAACGCCGCGUGAGUGAAGAAGGGUUUCGGCUCGUAAAACUCUGUUGUUAAAGAAGAACAUAUCUGAGAGUAACUGUUCAGGUAUUGACGGUAUUUAACCAGAAAGCCACGGCUAACUACGUGCCAGCAGCCGCGGUAAUACGUAGGUGGCAAGCGUUGUCCGGAUUUAUUGGGCGUAAAGCGAGCGCAGGCGGUUUUCUAAGUCUGAUGUGAAAGCCUUCGGCUCAACCGAAGAAGUGCAUCGGAAACUGGGAAACUUGAGUGCAGAAGAGGACAGUGGAACUCCAUGUGUAGCGGUGAAAUGCGUAGAUAUAUGGAAGAACACCAGUGGCGAAGGCGGCUGUCUGGUCUGUAACUGACGCUGAGGCUCGAAAGUAUGGGUAGCAAACAGGAUUAGAUACCCUGGUAGUCCAUACCGUAAACGAUGAAUGCUAAGUGUUGGAGGGUUUCCGCCCUUCAGUGCUGCAGCUAACGCAUUAAGCAUUCCGCCUGGGGAGUACGGCCGCAAGGCUGAAACUCAAAGGAAUUGACGGG
rnacentral:rRNA from 1 species